AAAUGCCAACCAACCUAUCCUUAUCCACUCAAGGCGUGAGAAGAGAAGGGGUGUGGGUUCUUUGUGCAUGAAGAAUUUACACGAGAAACUUUUUCUCAUGUAGAGAAUGGGGUGCAUAAAAGGAUAAGGUGGCGCAUGGAUUAGUUGCCCAUUAAAAUUCAAACAUCAUUUGAAUUUGAAUGGUCAACCAACCAAUCUUUAUCCACAUAAGUGGCGCACA
rnacentral:lncRNA from 1 species